ACUGUUCCCCAACACGUACCUAACCUAACCCCCGUGCGGCCGUACCCCCGGGAAAGUGGGGUUAAUGCCCGAUAUGCGAGGGAUCCUGGAAUGGUUCCACGCCCAAACGUUAGCUCGCCCAUGUUACAGAGCACGACUACGAGGAUGGGGCUGCGGGAUUGCUCCCCUAUGUUGAGGCCUCACCUCACCAAUCCGUUGUACGGUAAGGCUUUCGCCAGCGUGGCCCUUCGAUGAACAUUGAAUUUUAGCGCUCCCCCCUACAUACCUGUGACUCCUCCCGGCCUCCACAAUGGACGAGAGUGCGAUGGGGCUACUUCUAGUGCCGCCUGAAAAAGGAGAAUUUUCCAUGGAGCAAUGCGCCGUGCUAAUAAGGGGGGGGCAAGACUGGCCACUUGCGCCUCCUGAACACACCGCCCCCGAUGGGAGGGGAAUUGUACUUGACUUAUUCCCUUCGAUAUCGGCUCUAAAAAUCUCUCGUUAAAUCCGGCGUCCCUUGGUCGUCCUGUAUCAUACACUGCCGCAUUAGAGGGGGGGAGAGGCUGCUGCACUUCCCGGAGCUAGGGCCAAAAUCUUUGAGCCCUUCUCGACCAUACCUGUCUCAAGGUGCCUACUAAAACUCGCCUGGCGGUGAUGGAACAUCGCUGACGUACUAAAUCGGAUUAGAUUCCUCAUUAGUCCCUACCGUAGACGAUGUACGCUAUGCGUUGGGACUUCCCUGUGCCGAUUCAUCGUCACAUGCAAAACGUUAUUCCUGACGUCUGGGGAGAACAUCCGCAAGGCUGAGACUUAUAGGAACUGGAGGAUCAGCAC
rnacentral:rRNA from 1 species